rnacentral:lncRNA from 1 species
CAUGCGCACCCAGAAGAUGUAGCCCUAGAUGGGGAAAAACCGAGCCGAGAGAGCCAAUUUUGGCUGGGUCUUGCCAGGUCUUGCCAGGUCUUCCCGGAGAGGGUGCGCAUGCGUAAAUCGAACACCUCCUCUAAAUCUAACGCCCUGCUCAGUUCUAGAGGGGACAGCGCCCUCUGUCCUCCUGGCCGUUUUCCUGAACUCCUAACCUCAGUCAAUACUGCCUCGGGACCUGGCGCUGCCUGGGAGAUCCAGAAGAAAGGAAGCAUCUUGGCCCCUGCCUUGGGGGCGACACGACCGUCCCCAAACACAGCGAGUCACUGGCCUGGGUCUUUGUGCAGAGGCCCCUCUAGGAGCGGGGAACCAACGAUGGCACGAACAUUGAUUUGAGGAGGAUGCUUCGCAGUUUACGAAAAAAUGAGUGCUAGAGGCGUUCAGAAACGGGAAAGAUCACUUUGUGCUCCUGUGAUCUGAAGGCUGCGUGAAGAAGAUGAGGCUUGGAAAAUAGGACUUACCACAUUACAGGACAGACCACAGUGCAUGUCUGUCUGCUCCAACAGAAGUGGCUUUCUUGAGGGAAGGAAUUCUGCCUUGUUCAACUUUAUAUUCCCCCACAGUGCCUUGCAGAAAGUUCUGUCAGGUGAGCUGUUGUGCUGUAUGUCUGACCUGAAUUGCCUUUUAGGAGGGAAUCAGUACUUGGAAGCUGGAAUACAUCAGGGAUACCCCUAAAACGAGAGACUAUUUUUUUCCAUUGGAUUCUGACAUAAAUAAAUUUUGCCUACUUUGACAGU